rnacentral:misc_RNA from 1 species
GUUUAUUAUUAAUAAAUUUCAUUUAAGACGAAUUCAAAUGGUUUCUUCAAUGUUGGGCCAGUCCAGUAUCCUCCUUUACAGAGGUAUUAGGCCUGACCCAAAAUACAAUUUAAGUGCACAGUGGUACGAAGCAAAGUUGGACUAGCAGUAAUGCCUAUCAACAACCUUGUCGAAAAUCAGUAAUGAUCCAACCGCAGGUUCACCUACGGUUA